CCUUCCUCCUUUUAAUCAAGUAGUCAGCUAGCUAAUUGCAGAAACCCUUUUAUCGAAGAAGAUGGCUAAAAGAAAAAAAGAUGAGGAGUAUCGUACUUUUCAACAGGAAUGGACAGAGGAAUUCGCCUUUGUGGAGAGAGCAGGUUCUGCAGUGUGUCUAAUAUGCAAUGAUAAAAUUGCAUCGAUGAAACGGUCAAAUAUAAAGCGGCACUUCGACACACGUCAUACUACAUUUGCAUCGAAAUAUCCUGCGGGGGACAGCAGGAAGGAAGCAUGUCAAGAGCUACUGUGCAGAGUGCAAGCUACUCAGCAGCAACUCCGUGUUUGGACCCAACAAGGUGACUGGAAUUCGGCUAGCUUUGCUGGUGCUUUAGCAAUUAAAGUUGCAUUAAUGACCCCGGGCCUUCCUGUGAGCUGGCGUGGACGACUGCUUCACAACUCAACGUGCUCCCAGAUUUUUUGACCUGCGUUUGACCAGGGCAGCUUUAGACAGGACACUUUCUGCUGGCAAGCAGGACCAUGGGAGGUGUAUCUAGCAGACCCAAAUCCACCUGGCACUUCAUCAGACUGAUCAUCAGAAGACGCACCAGAAGAUAUUCCCUGGCAGCAUUUAAGGGAGAUUUUUAUUUUCUAGCCACAAAGGAACAACAGUAGGUGGUGCUGGGUAGCAGUGCUGAAUUAAUUUUUUUUUAGUCCCUGUGGACAACGAUCAAUCGGCAGACCAAUUUAACAUCACAUGCUGUCUAAAGCAAGUUCACACACUUUUACACCACGUACCAUCUGAGAAAGUAUUACGCUCACAAAGAGAUUGUCGGAGGGUAUUGGGAACAUACUGUAAGUUAGAAGGCUGAACUGAAAUCCACAUUGUAAAUCUCAUAAAUCUUUCUGUUGUCUUGCUUUGUGUGCAGACUAAGCCUCCUUUGAGAUUCAAGAUUCUUUAUUUGUCACAUACAUAGUUAUACAAGUCCAAUGUGCAGUGAAAUGUACCAUGAACGACCCUUAGACUGUGCAAAUCAAAAACAGAAUUAAGAAUAAAGUCAACCAAAUAAAAAAAAAUCUUACAAUAUGUAGUGUAGCGCAAGC